rnacentral:rRNA from 1 species
UUUUUUUUAAGGAGAACAACCUUCCCUUCCCUUGACAUGUAUGGAAUCCUGAAGAGAUUGGGCCUUGCUGGAAAGAGAGCCAGAACACAGGUGCUGCAUGUCAGUCGUCAGCUCGUGUCGUGAGAUGUUGGGUUAAGUCCCGCAACCAGCCCAUCCCUUGUCUUUAGUUGAUACGAAAGGGCACUCUAAUGAGACUGCCGGUGACAAACCGGAGGAAGGUGGGGAUGACGUCAAGUCAUCAUGGCCCUUAUGGGUAGGGCUACACACGUCAUACAAUGGCCGGUACAGAGGGUUGCCAACCCGCGAGGGGGAGCUAAUCCCAGAAACCCGGUCGUAGUCCGGAUGCAGUCUGCAACUCGACUGCGUGAAGUCGGAAUCGCUAGUAAUCGCGUACACGCCCCCAGAUUGCC